AUUCCAGCUCCAAUAGCGUAUAUUAAAGUUGUUGCAGUUAAAAAGCUCGUAGUCGGAUUUCGGGUGCUGCCCGGUGUAGCCACGGCGAACGCCGGGUGGGGCCUUCCUUCUGGGAUUCCUCUGCACUCUUUACUGAGUCGGAUGGCGUUCCAGGACGUUUACUGUGAAAAAAUUAGAGUGUUUAAAGCAGGCGAUUGCCGUGAAUACAUUAGCAUGGGAUAAUAGAAUAGGACUUUGGAACUAUUUUGUUGGUUUGGGUUACGAAGUAAUGAUUAAUAGGGACGGUUGGGGGCACUCGGAUUCCGUUGUCAGAGGUGAAAUUCUUAGAUUAGCGGAAGACGAACAGCUGCGAAAGCGUCUGCCAAGGACGUUUUCAUCA
rnacentral:rRNA from 1 species